GCUGGGUGUGGUGGUGUGUGCCUGUAAUCCCAGCUACUUGGGAGGCUGAGGCAGGAGAAUCACUUGAACCCAGGAGGCGGAGGUUGCAGUGAGCCAAGAUCGCACCACUGCACUCCAGCCUGGGUGACAGAGUGAGUCUCUGUCUCAA
rnacentral:SRP_RNA from 1 species